UGCCAGCAGCCGCGGUAAUACGGAGGGGGUUAGCGUUGUUCGGAAUUACUGGGCGUAAAGCGCACGUAGGCGGACUGGAAAGUAUGGGGUGAAAUCCCAGGGCUCAACCCUGGAACUGCCUCAUAAACUAUCAGUCUAGAGUUCGAGAGAGGUGAGUGGAAUUCCGAGUGUAGAGGUGAAAUUCGUAGAUAUUCGGAGGAACACCAGUGGCGAAGGCGACCUCCUGGACUGAUAUUGACGCUGAGGUGCGAAAGCGUGGGGAGCAAACAGGAUUAGAUA
rnacentral:rRNA from 1 species